UCUGGUAGGAGAUGGCUCUAAGAUAUUUCCCCUGACUAAGCAUCUCGGACACUUGCGAGGCCGCUCCCCAACGACUGGUUGGUGGAUGCCCUGAGCGGCCGCCGAGCUUUCUCGUUGGCAGUGUACAGCGCUAGAGCUUGAUAUUUGUAUAGCAUAAAAAUCGAGAGAUAUUUGUUGCCACGGAUUGAAAGGUGAAAGGGAUCCAUCUUCCAUCAAACUAUUUCUUCUCGUCUACCUGCACAGGGUCCCAACACCAAUUCCUUCAGCUUCAAUCAUUUCUUCAUCAGGGCAACAGGGAGAGGCUUCGAUCUGCAUCAUAAGAAGGGAGGUGCCUCUCAUCUCAGUUGUGUUGUGCUUGGAUGCGAUGGUGCCAUGGAGGAUGGAGGCGCGCCUGGCGGAGACGGUGUGGGUGGCGCUCCUCGGCUGGGUCUCCUCCUGCCUCACCGUCGCCGGCGACGUCGCACGCGCACUCAGAAGCAGCGAUCUCUCCGUCUAGGCCACUUUCAACAUCGCCGGCAACCAAGAACCGACGACUCUGCGUGGCGCGCUCCUCCAUAAACAGAGUUCGUCCAUAGAAGGACGACUGUGAUGUAGAAGUGAAAUCCUCAUGUAGCAUAGAUGUUAAAAUCUUGUGUCAAGCAGAGAGAUAGCUAUUUGCUCAGAGUGUCCUGACUUUCUAACACAGAUAGCAUUGAAGGAA